rnacentral:lncRNA from 1 species
UAUGUGAGAUCAAUCCCUUUUAUAUAUACAUAUAACCUAAUAUACUAUAAUAUAAAUAGGGGUUAUGCUUCAAGAACACGUGUGGGGAGUUAUGGGAAAUGGAAGCAAACAGGUAAAUUUGUGUCUCCGACACAUAUGAUGAUUACCUUGUGAGUGAAGAAAAAAAAGCAAAAAAAAUAAAAAAUCCAAAAAGACAAUAAUUAAUUGAGUCAAACACAAGACGACCCUUUGUUGUGUAAUGUAUAGUGUAUGUAUAUGUUUUGUGGUUCCACUCCAACCCUAGGAGGUCCCCCUCCAAUCCGUUUUCCACUCUAUCCCCAUCAACCAACAAACACCCCCUCCCUAUCUAUAUAUUUGGUUAAAUUUUAAUAUUAGUCCCUUCUUAUAUAAAAGUUCUACAUUUAGUUGUUAUACUUUAGUUUGGUUUUUUUUAGUUUGUGUACAUUUUGAAUUUUGAAAUUUCAAUGUUGCGCUCUGUUCAAAGCCUCUCGUCUCCUCUCCAUAAAUCUCUCACUCAACGCAGAGCGAAUAGGCGGAGACUUCCAAGAAUCUAUCGCAUCAGCUAAUCACGCUCUAAAGGUAACAAUUUCUCUAAAUUUUCAAUAUUAAACUUUUUAAGCAAAUAUCAGAUCUGAAUCUGAUGUUCUACUUUUUAGCUUCAAUUUGUUCUAGUUCAUCACUAUUUCAUUCUUUUUUAUUUAUUUAUCUAUAUUAUAGCUGCACUUUUAGUUUUUCUUCAUUGUUUGUUAUUAGAUCUGAUUAUUUUCUGAUACUGUUGAUCUGUGGUGAAAUGUUUUGAAAUGUUUUUGCCUACGUUCGAUCUGAUCUAUCGUGUAUAUAUUAUUUUUUCUUGAAAUUUACGCUUGAUUCGUUAGAUCUAUUGGUGUUUACUGCUUUUGGCUGCAAAUCGGUGGUGUGAGAAUCUGUUUGGUUUGUAUCCAACUCUCACUUGUUGAAAUUUUAGAUCCAUUGAUUUCCGUCACUUUUAGAGAGUCUCCUUUUUCACUCAAGAAAAUAGAUCAUUUUUCACUACCUUUAGAUCAGCUGCUGUUUCUGCCUUUUCAAACUUCAAUACGAGGCAAAAUAUAUAUGUAUUUAUUUGUAAUAUCCCUUACUGAAAUUACUUGCAUAAAUUCAAAAAAGUUGAUAUGUUUAUACAUGCAGUGCAUUUUAGGUGAUUGUUUACCGUUCAAUAUGGUAUUUAUUUUAUGGUUUCUGCUUAAAAUUGCCGCGUUGAUUAUGUUCUUGUAUCUGUGAUUCAAUUUUGUAUGUCCUUUUGUUUUUACUUCUAGUAAUAUGUUGUUCUUGAUGAGAUGUUCCAAUCUUGCAGCAUAUCCCCUUAGUAUGCCUUGUUGCACGGUUUACUCUUUCUUGUUAAAAUAAAACCGUGAUUCCACUUGAUGUCUUCUAUAUUUAGUUUUUCUUGGCUAUAACAUUUUUGUAUCCAUAAUCUUACAUCUGGCUUUGUUUCAUUGUUGACAGUUAAUGUGCAUUUCUUUUCAUUCUAUUCUGUGUGUUCAUGUGCUCAUUUUCUUUCUUUCAAUGAAUUCAGAAUGGAUCAGGUUCAACACCCAUCUAUCAUGCAGAAGGUAGCAGGCCAGCUCCUUCGUUCUAGCCAUUCUCAAGAUUUUCAAGGUUAUAAUGGGUCUUUCAGGAGUCCUGCUCUAUGCCAAAGGCGUGCUGCAUAUGGCAAUUACUCCAAUGCUGCACUGCAGCAUCCUGUCCGGGCUUGUGGAGACCUGUCUAUGGUUCCAUCAACAGCUUCUGCUAUUUGCGUUCAGGCUCCUGCUGAGAAAGGAUUUAGCAGCUUUGCUAUUGAUUUCCUCAUGGGUGGAGUUUCUGCUGCUGUAUCAAAAACAGCUGCUGCACCAAUUGAGCGUGUUAAGCUUUUGAUUCAGAACCAGGAUGAAAUGAUCAAAAGUGGAAGGCUCUCUGAACCUUACAAGGGUAUUGGUGAUUGUUUCAAGCGAACAAUCAAGGAUGAAGGAUUUGGUUCUUUGUGGAGAGGGAACACUGUCAAUGUUAUUCGUUAUUUCCCCACUCAGGUUAGCAAUUCUAACUUUUUAUAUAUUACAUUUUCUUUCGAUUAUAUUUAUUGCUCGUGUUUUAUACUUAUUCCUUUGUUCAUUUUUCUACAGGCCUUGAACUUUGCCUUCAAGGAUUACUUCAAGAAGCUUUUCAACUUCAAGAAAGACAGAGAUGGUUACUGGAAAUGGUUUGCUGGGAACUUGGCAUCUGGUGGUGCAGCUGGUGCUUCUUCCCUUCUCUUUGUCUACUCCUUGGAUUAUGCUCGAACUCGUCUUACAAAUGAUGCAAAGGCUGCAAAGAAGGGAGGAGAGAGACAAUUCAACGGUUUUGUUGAUGUCUACAGGAAAACCCUAAAAUCUGAUGGUAUUGCCGGGCUUUACCGUGGUUUCAACAUUUCAUGUGUUGGAAUCAUUGUUUACCGUGCUCUAUAUUUUGGAAUGUACGACUCUCUGAAGCCAGUGCUUUUGACUGGAAGCAUGCAGGUUAGUAUGCAGGAUGUUAUCUGAUACAGCUAUAUAUGUUGUCUUGUUACUUAAGCUAUAUUGUUUUUGUUGUAAUGACAUCUUGCUCUGUGUUACCCUUUGAUAAUUACAGGAUAGUUUCUUCGCUAGCUUUGCUCUUGGUUGGCUCAUCACAAAUGGUGCUGGCCUUGCAUCUUACCCAAUUGACACUGUUCGUAGAAGAAUGAUGAUGACUUCUGGUGAAGCUGUCAAAUACAAGAGCUCGCUCGAUGCCUUCUCUCAGAUCUUGAAAAACGAAGGUGCCAAGUCUCUAUUCAAGGGUGCUGGAGCUAACAUCCUUCGUGCCAUUGCCGGUGCGGGUGUGCUCGCUGGAUACGACAAGUUGCAGCUCAUUGUUUUCGGAAAGAAGUACGGAUCCGGUGGUGCUUAAAUUUAGGGUGGUACUAUCUCUCCCUUCUUUUGUUAUGUUUUAGGUUUUAAAGAUGGCGAUGAAAAGCUCGACACAUUAAGAAAUUUAUUUCGGCAAAAAAAUUCAUUAAUAAUUCAGAUUUAGGGGGGGAAGUUACUCCCUAAACGAUUUAUACUUUUGGGAUGUGAAAUUUUGAUUUACCCAUCUCGGAUUUUUGGUUUGGUUUUAAGAAAUGAAGUGAUGGAUGUUUUAUUUAUAUCUGAAAACGGAAAUGAUCUGAAGUUUCAGGUUGAAAAUUGGUUAACCAUCCAUGGAAUUUAAUUUUAUGCUUGAUGAAUUUAUAUGAUGAUAUUUGUUGUCUUGAUGCACAACGUUACUUUGUAAACUGAUUUGAUAGUGAAUUUAUAGAUUGAAAUAAAGUAGUGUGAAAUUAGUGAUAUAAGAGAAUGUAUACUUUUGUUAUAUCAUCCACGCUGAAAACGAUGGUAUCAUUUUGGGUUAAGUAACUAAUCCUUGCUUUUGCUUUUGCUUUUGAAUAUUAUAUAUAUAUAAAACUCAGUUGGAAUAUUUUAACUGUUGUGCUCUUCAGUCGAAUGCGACUUCAACCGGAUUAGACUAAUAAACAAAGGAUAAAGUUCAUUUGUUCUUAUUUUUUCAUAACAUAUGAAUUUAAUGAACGUGUUAUUAUAAUAAAUAUUACGAUAAAUGUUUCAUGGAGAUUUUUAUACUAGAAAUUAAUUAGUAAAUUAAUCCUUAUAAGUUAGAUCAAAGAGAAAGUUAUCAUUCUAUUAAAAUUUCUGUUCGUUUUUGCUAUUAAAAAUUGGUCUAUGUAUGCCAACAUGAGAUACAUACGUCACACCACAUGUUACUGUUUGAAGAUAGAUUUUCUCCCUGAUCUAACGUAUAGAGACUAAUUUAUUUAUUUAUUUAUUAAUUAAAGCCCGUAAAAUGUAAUCUGACUCUUAAUACUUUUCUGCUUUUACCAUUAUGAUAUAAUCUCUCUUUACUCUUUUAGGUUCCAUUGGUUAGUUUUUGACAUGGCACUUUUUUGAGGAUUUAGAUUUAACUUCACACAAGUAUUAUUCCUUUCAUUUGUAGUUGUUUACUUUUUCUCCUUUCUGGUUUGUCUUUGGUUCAAAAAUAUCAGUCGUUUUGGUACGACUAAAUUUAAGACUCUAAGCUGCUUGUACUGUUGGUGGAAAUAGUUUUAGCCAAAGGUAAGUGUAUAAGCGUAAAAUCUUGACUAAUUACAAACUUAGCCCUCAAAUCAUACAGCAUUUUCUAUUUAGACACUUCAUGUUUUUUAAAUAAAAAAAUGGUAAUUAAACAAUCCAUUUUAUUUCAUUUUAUCUAAAAAAAAAAUAUAGCCACUAAAAACAUUAAACAUCAUACGUUUGAUAACAGUUUAAUAUGAAAAAGCAAAAAGAAUAAGGGAUAAAUAUUAAAAUUAUACAUGGAGUUUAAUUUUAUUUAAAUAUACAAUAGAAGUAUCAUGGAAGUCCCUGUAUUAGGAGCCAGAUUGUAUUUUAUCUUUUCUACUAAAAAAUGGGCAAAUUAAUUCAUAUAUGUAAGAUAAAAAAGCAAAUCGGUCUUUUUUGUUAAAAAAUCCAUCAUUCGUAUUGCUAAAAACUAGUGUGGCUGACGGGAUAAUCGAAUAGUGACAUGUGGUGUGCCACAAGUACCUCAUGCUGAUGUAUAUAGAUCAAUUUACUUUUUGAUCUAAUGUGUAGGGACUUAUUUGUCUGUUUUUUCAGUAGAGAGGGUAAAAUGCAAAUUGACUCCUAAUACAUGGACUUUCAUGAUACUUUUACCAUAAUUACACACAUUAAACUUUGAUUUUUGUUUCAAUGUAUACAAUUUAUUUUUACAUUGGAUAAGUAUAAUUAUUUGUGUAUGUAAUAUGUAAAUGUAAAAUGAUAUUAUAUCGAUAAUGAUGUUAAUUAUUUAUGAUAACUGAAAUCAAAUUAAAAUAUCAUAUACAACAUUACUCAUUAAAUCAAAUUUCAUGUGUAAUUUCAAGAUUUAUUCCUCGUACUAAAACAAAAACAAAAGUAUAUGGUAAUGAUAAUAUUCAAAUUAAUUAGAUAAAAAGUUACUAAGCCAAAAAAAAAAAAGUUAAUAGUUUUAGCCUAUAUCAAAUUUAUCAAUGGUUUGAAAUUCAUUUAUUUUAAUUUUGAAAUAGAGGAGAAAAAUAUAAUGACAAUUUUUACUAUAAAAAAUAAUUAUUAAAUUUUAUUGUAUCGAAUGAUAAAAAAAUUGAAAUUAUUUUUAAUAAAAUCUUGAGUUUAAAUUUUGUAAAUGAAAAUGAUAAUCUUGAGAGAAUUUGUCUAAACUUGACAUUAAAUAUAGUCGAGAUUCAAUAUAAUUUUGAUAUUGUAGGUAUUAGAAUAGAAAAUUAACAUGAAAAUAAGAAAAUAAUAUUAAUAAUUUAGAGAUGAAUUCGCAACUUUUAUUAUUAAUGUUGUUAAAAUCAGAUUAGAUUGGUUGGGGUGUCGGUCCGAAGAGAAAGGUUAGACCGUUUGAUUUAUGAAUUGCUCAGAAUCAGGUUAAAAAAGUUUGGACCGGCGAUUGAAUUGAUUUUAUUUAUUUUUUAGUAUAUUAGUAUUUAUGAUUUUUUAAUAAUUUAUUUAAUUAAACUGGAUGGACUGAUUGAAUUGAUAAUCUAACUGGUUCAGCCACCAUUUUGAUUCUAAAAACUUUGUUAUUAUAAGAAAUAAAAAAAAUAUUUAGGUUUAUUUAAUCAUAAAAAAACCCUAAAAAAAGGGUAAACUACACUCAAUGUCACUAAACUAUUGGUAAGUUUACGUUUUGGUCACUUAACUUUAAAAAAUUACAAAAUGAUCACUAAACUAUUUGAAAGCUUUCAUUUAAGUCACUAAAUUAUUCAAAAGUUUUUAUUUAACUCACUAGGUUGUUAAGUUUUUUCUUUUUUUUUUUAAAGUUUAGCUAGCGUGCUCCAAGCAACAAAUCAACCAUUGGUACGAUGGAUUAGUACUGAUUGACAAGAAUGGUACCACUUGAGCAUAGACGCCCUGGGCACAAUACUUCCACCUUUGAGGUUUCUGAUGCGGAAUCCCGGAUCUAGACACAAGAGAAACACAAAUUAGAAAUAAAACGAGAAUAAAUAAAAUUAGUUAAAAUAAUAAUAAAUAAAUAAAUAAUAAAAAGGAUAGAUUUGCCCUAUGGAACCCUUGGUUAACUUGUAACCAAAGACGCCAAUGAUUGAGCGGCUCUCUACGAAACCCCUAGAAGAAGAACCUCUAGAAACACCGAUGAACGGGAAAGAAAUUUGAAUAUUUGCAACUCCGAAAUACCCUCGAAAGUAACAAACUCCAAACUAAAUAGCAAGAGAAGAAUCACUCUACUCUCAAAAAUUUGCCUCACACAAAUUUGGAAGAAAAUAAAUAAUCCCUUUUUUCAUUCUGUCUCCAAUGUGUAGAAAACAAGCCUAUUUAUAGGCAAAUUACAAGAGUAAUUGAAUCCUAAUAAAAACUCUUUAAAGAGUAAUUGAAUCCUAAUAAAACUCUUUAAAAUUAUCUAAGAAAAUAAAUAAAUAAUAACCUAACCAAUAAAAUUACUUAACUCAUAAAUGAUGUGUCCCAACCAAUGAGAAUUAAGUAAAUAAUAAUAAUAAUAAGAUACAUAAAAAAUUAAUCCACCAAUUUAUGGGCUUUUACUAUUCCAAGAUUGGUCCAGUGAAUUGCAUUCCCGUAUUUAUCAAUGUCACGAACAUGAUGAAUUAAAUUUGUCGCAACAAAGUCUUGGACAAAAGCAUUCAUCUUUGAUUUUAAUUGUCGUGCCUUGCUUCGAGUGAUUGGACCACUAGGAAAGACAAUCCUUUGAGUGUCACCUCCUUGACUCGUAUCAGUUUCUCUCAAAACAAACCCAACUUCUCCUCAACAAUGUUCAUUCUUCUCAUGAACGGUGAAUUUCUAGUUUUGAAAUGAAUUUGGGUCAUUAAUGUUUGUUGGAUCGAGCGGUAAAGAGUUCGAUUUCCCUUAAAAAAGGUGGAUGGAGAAUAUAGCAUUAGGAGAGUUUUGUUUUGCCUCUUGUUUAGAGGUUUGACUUGGCUUGACUUUGGAUUUAUUUUAACCUCAGAAGAAGAAAGAAACUCGGGUCUUCCCCGAUCAUUUCAUAGGGAUUUAUGUGCUAAAACAAAGUAUAAUUAGAUAUAGUCCUUUCAAUAAAAAAUGGAAGCUUUAUUCUAUCAACACAUGCUUAAUUAAUCUACUAACAUUACUUGGUUGCUUUGAAAGAGUUUUAAAAAAUCUAUUGUUUCAAAUUUAUGCACUUUAAUAUAAAAGUAGUUAUAUUGUAAGAAGAUUUUAAUUUGAAAUUUUUAAUUUUUUUAAUUUAACUCAAACAAUUCUAUUUGAUUUAACUCGACUCGAAUUUCAUUUUGAUUAACUCGAAAAAAAAUUAAAUCGAGUUAGGAUGAUAAAAUAAGACCCGUCAAUUUGAUUAACUCGAAAAUUUUUCACUUGAUUCGAUUAAACACUCACCCCUACUCGUAGAGCUUGUAAAAUUGAUUCAUUUUAACCGAGAAUAUUAAGUCUGCCUAAUGGAAUUAGGUUAUAAUCAAGUUGAAAUUGCAAUGUGACUGUGGCGCUAUGGCUUUUUUGGGCAGACUCAAUGGUGGGCCUAAUGAAAUUAGGCAUUAAGACAUCAAAAUUCAAUGGGUUCACAUCAGAGGUGCUCAGGGGAACCGGUAGCUAAAGGCUGACAGGGCCCCGACCUCAAUAAAAUGAAAAAUUAUACAUUUAGGCUUUUUAGAAAUUUUAAAACUCCAAAUUAGUAAAGAUAAAAUUACACUUUGCCCAUUAAAAAUGAUAAAAAUUGAUUUAACCCUUUACAAAUUAAUUAUAAAAAUAAAGACUAUUAAAAAUUACAAUUUAAUUUCGGUCCUCCCAGAAAUUUACUAGCUUCAGCCCUACUCAUGGGUCGGAUCAAGCCGGACCUAAGCAUGAUAUUAACAUACUUAUGUUAGUCCAAACUUGGCCCAACUCGAAAUAUUGACCUAAAAUUUUGCCCAAACCCGUUCAUAUUUGCAAAAGGCUAACCCAAGUCCAUUUUAAACCCGCCCAUAUUAUUUUUUUAAAAUUUUUAACAAAUAUUUAUAUUAUAUUAUUUUAAUGUUUAAUAAUUUUAUACCUUUUUUAUUUAUUAAAAUUUUUAUAUAAUCAUCUUAACAUUAUUUUAAUGUUUACAUUAGAGUAAUAUUAUAUAUUUAAUAUAAAUUUAUUUUUUAAUAUGUUCUGAAUUAUAUAAUAUAUAAAAAUAACAUAAUAUAAAAUAUUAAAAACUUGAAAACGAGUCGAAUCAUCCGAACUUAAGCCUUAAAUGUUAAAACCCAAUCCCGACCCAUAUUUUAAACGAAUUUAACUUUUUACUUAAACCUAAUUUUUAAAUUUAAUAAUUUUUCCUAAAUUCUCUCAAAUUUCGGAAUCAAACAGAUAUCCCCAACCUUUUAACAGUUGUAGUCGGCAUCAUUGCUUACUUUGAAACUUUUGUUGAUUAGCCGCAUUUCAUUAAUUUUAAUUUUACAAGACAGCUGUUUUUGAGUUGUUUGAGAAUUUUCCACUCACUUUUUUUCUUGCCAGAAAAUUGUGGCAAUCACUGUCAAUAUUUUGGAUUGAAGAAUUUGAUUAUGGAUUUGGGAAGGGCCACGUUUAGGGUUUGUUGGUGAUUUUUGGUUUUUGAUUAAGUGAAAAUGAAACCUCACUCAUAAAACACUUCCUUUGUCUAGGGUCAAUAUCUUUUAUAUACAUAUCAAUUCUGGUUCAAAGCACAUAUAAUCUACGUCGAAAAUUAUUAUCGGAAAAAUUUACAAAUAGAAGAGGAAAUAUUUAUUAAUGUUGAAAAAUUAAUAAUACAAGUAAAAUUCAGACUACUUCUAUUUUAAGAGUUAAACAAUUCUAUUAUAAUUAAUGUCUAAUAGAAAAAUUAUAAUGCUAUUUUAAGAACCCUGAAUCUUUCCCCAUAAAUCCCUUAUUUUGUCUCUCUAUUUUGUUUAUUUAACAAGUUAGAGGGAUUCGAUUAACGCAAUUCUAACAUUAAUAUUCUAACGUUAAUAUAUAUAGAAAUAGUAGCGAAUGCUGUAGGGUAUCAAUGUUCCCAAAACAGCUUCUCAAUUCUUGCGUCCUUAUUAUUUGUAAACCUUCGAAUGGUACUAUUAAUGUUGCUGCUGUAAUGUUUGAGGGGUUGUGACAUGAAGAAUAAUUGGAUGGUUCCCUUCUUUACGUAACCAUAGACCAGAUGAAGAAUAAUAGGAGGGUCCCCAAAACAGUGUUGAGUAACCCGAGUAGGACUUCCCUAAAACAAGACAAAAUACGUAAACCACAUAUACCAGAUUCAAGAGCAUUCCUGUUUUACGAUGAUGGUGGUGGUUGAUGGAGACAGUGUGUAUUGAGGGAAGCUACAGUGGGUGUGUGCUCAGUGGUGGCGAUUGGCGACUGGUGAACGAUGAUGGUGGUGACUGGUGGGUGUUGGCGGAGUGGAGAAGGCAAAUGUGUUUUCUUUAUUAGUUGAUUUGAAUGGAGAAAGUGGAGGAGAGGAGAGGGCUAACUGGACCGUGGGAAAAAAGAGAGUAUAGGUUGGUUAUCCAGGUUGAGUUGGGUUCGAGAAAAAAGAUGAUGUUAAACUUGUUUUGUAAAUAGAUAUCAUUUUUUUUGACAGAUCGACUCAUGAUUAAGUCUAAGUAGAAGACAUGUGAUAAUAAUAUAGAGAGAUAUAAACUGUAUAAUUAAUUUCUUUCAAUUAUUUUCCGUACGAAAAAAGAAUUCUUUUAAUUAUUACGAUUCGAUUCGAAAAAUUCAAUAAAAAAGUCAAAUAUUAAAUUAAAUGGUUCGAGUUAUUCAGAUAAACUCGAAUAAAAAAUUAAAAUUUUUGGUUUAACUCGAAUAUGAAUUACACAAUUCGAGCUAUUCGAAAAUCCUAAUAAAAAAAAAGCCAAAUUACGUCGUUUUGAUAAAUGUUUAUUCAUCUACCUUACUUAUGUUGUUAAAUAAUCUUGUAUUUUGUCUGCUAGUUAAAUAAUCAGUCAAUGUAAAAGCAACAUCGAGUAUAAAUAAUAUGAUUCGUUAACUCGACUCGAAUCGAAAAAAUUUUAAAUUGAGUUCGGUUGUUAGAAUAGUAUUCGUCAACUCGACUAACUCGAAAAUUUUUGACUCGACUCGAUCAAAUACUCACCCCUAAUUCUUAUUGGAUAUAUUAUAAUAAUUACUAUUACAAAUUGUUAUAUUUGAGUAAUGAAUUAGACUCUAACAGAAUGUUGCCUUUAAGGAAAAGAAUGCUUUAAAAAACAAGGCUUACUUUACUGUACUGCACUUUACUGUGUUACCGGCCAUGGCUAUGGCCAUGUCGAAUAGUCGAUGGCGACAGCGUCGUAGUUUGCGUACGUAACAGUCAAAUUAGUCGGGGCCUAUACUUAGGUUCUUUUUCUUGUCUUCCUUUGAAUAAAAAUAGUGUCUGUCUGCAGGUGUGUGUUAGUUGGUGUCUUAAAUCUUAAUUAAUUAAUGUUUUGAAGUCUAAUUAACCAUGCAAAUCCCAUGCAUUGGGGGCGCAUGCUGCCGCCUACAAAUUUUAAUAUUAUUCACGUUUCUCCUCUUAAAAAUAAUUUAUUAUGAAAGGUGUUAUAUUGAUUAAAUUUUUUUGUAUACUGAUAAUAAGGAAAUGUGUAUUGUGCUGUAAAAGUAGCUUCUCUACGAAGGUUAGUCGUAACGGUAAGGUAUAUUAUAUUCUUAAAGAGAACUCGAUUUUGAAUAUUAGAGAUAUUAUUGUUGAGAAAGAUAAUUACGAGCUCCGAAAGAAUUAGUAUUUAUGAAUCAUAAAAUGGAGAUAAAUGACACUUUAUUGAGCGGGGGCAAAGCUAGAAAAAUAUUUUGGGGAUUGAAAUUAAGUUGUAGAUUUUUAUGAGAGCUAAAAUAUAAUUUCAUCAUUUUAAUAACUUAUAUCUUGAUAGUCUUUUAAAGGACUAAAUCAAAAUUGUAUCAUUUUGGGGGUUCAAAGUGUAAAUUUACCGUGCACUAACUUAAAAUUUUAUAAAUUAUAAAGGCUCAAAAGUUGAAUUUGACAUUUAGGGGGGCAAGGCCCUUGCUAGCCCCUGCCGUCAUCGGAGAGACAACCAUGAACUCUAAAAAAUUAACAAACAUUUUUACCACUACACAUAUGGUUUGGUAUAUAUUGUCACUAUACUAUAUUGAAAUUUGAUGAUUAAUCAUUCUAAUGUAAUUUGGCAUAAUAUCACACGAUGAAAGUAGAGGCACCAAAAACGAAAUCAAACCCUUCUAUAUGUGAGAUCAAUCCCUUUUGUCUCUUAUAUAUAUAACCUAAUAUACUAUAAUAUAAAUAGGGGUUAUGCUUCAAGAACACGUGUGGGGUGUUAUGUGAAAUGGAAGCAAACAGGUAAAUUUGUGUCUCCGACACAUGAUGAUUACCUUGUGAGUGAAGAAAAAAAAGCAAAAAAAAUAAAAAAUCCAAAAAGACAAUAAUUAAUUGAGUCAAACACAAGACGACCCUUUGUUGUGUAAUGUAUAGUGUAUGUAUAUGUUUUGUGGUUCCACUCCAACCCUAGGAGGUCCCCCUCCAAUCCGUUUUCCACUCUAUCCCCAUCAACCAACAAACACCCCCUCCCUAUCUAUAUAUUUGGUUAAAUUUUAAUAUUAGUCCCUUCUUAUAUAAAAGUUCUACAUUUAGUUGUUAUACUUUAGUUUGGUUUUUUUAGUUUGUGUACAUUUUGAAUUUUGA